rnacentral:rRNA from 1 species
UUAAGUGGUAAAGGAUGUGGGAUUGCACAGACAACCAGGAUGUUGGCUUAGAAGCAGCCACUCAUUCAAAGAGUGCGUAAUAGCUCACUGGUCGAGUGAUCCUGCGCCGAAGAUUUCCGGGGCUAAAACUUACUACCGAAGCUACGGCAUCAGUAAUGAUGGGUAGGGGAGCUUCCCAUACGGGUUGAAGCAUGACCGUAAGGACAUGUGGACAGUAUGGGAGUGAGAAUGUUGGCAUGAGUAGCGAGAUGUGGGUGAGAAUCCCACAGGCCGUAAACCCAAGGUUUCCAGGGGAAGGUUCGUCCGCCCUGGGUUAGUCGGGACCUAAGCUGAGGCCGAAAGGCGUAGGUGAUGGACAACAGGUUGAUAUUCCUGUACUACCGAUAACCGUUUGAGAGAAGGGAUGACACAGUAGGAUAAGCUAAGCACACUGUUGGUUAUGUGUGCCCAAGCAUUGAGGCAGUCAAAGUAGGCAAAUCCGCUUUGAUAAUGCUGGGAUGUGAUGGGGAGCGAAAUUUAGUAGCGAAGUAGCUGAUUUCACACUGUCAAGAAAAGUCUCUAUCGAGGUUAAAGGUACCCGUACCGCAAACCGACACAGGUGGGUGAGGAGAGUAUCCUAAGGCCAGCGAGAGAACUGUUGUUAAGGAACUCGGCAAAAUGACCCCGUAACUUAGGGAUAAGGGGUGCCACCAUCAGGUGGCCGCAGAGAAUAGGCCCAAGCGACUGUUUACCAAAAACAUAGGUUUCUGCUAAGUCGCAAGACGAUGUAUAGGAGCUGACGCCUGCCCGGUGCUGGAAGGUUAAGGGGAUCUGUUAGAGCAAUCGAAGCAGUGAACUUAAGCCCCAGUAAACGGCGGCCGUAACUAUAACGGUCCUAAGGUAGCGAAAUUCCUUGUCGGGUAAGUUCCGACCCGCACGAAAGGCGUAACGAUUUGGGCACUGUCUCAACAACAGACUCGGUGAAAUUGUAAUUCCGGUGAAGAUGCCGGAUACCUGCGACAGGACGGAAAGACCCCAUGGAGCUUUACUGUAGCUUGACAUUGGGUCUUGGUACUACAUGUACAGGAUAGGUGGGAGGCUUUGAAACCAGGACGCCAGUUUUGGCGGAGCCAUCCUUGG